AAAUUUUGAAGUCGCUUGUUGUUUGCGUCACUACCGCUUACUUGACUUCCACCGCAGUCAGAAUAACGCAGCUAGCCGCUAAGCUAAGCUAACCCGCACAGAGAGCGGACACUGCGGGGCUGCGGAGCCGCCGUGAAGAUGUCCAGAUAUGGUCGGUACGGAGGAGAGACAAAGGUGUACGUGGGGAACUUGGGGAUGGGGGCAGGGAAAGGUGAGCUGGAGCGAGCCUUCGGGUACUAUGGACCCCUCAGGACUGUCUGGAUUGCCAGGAACCCUCCAGGCUUCGCUUUCGUAGAGUUCGAAGACCCGCGAGACGCUGACGACGCUGUUCGUGGGUUAGACGGAAAGGUCGUCUGUGGGAGUCGUGUCCGGGUCGAACUCUCCACUGGGAUGCCUCGCCGCUCUCGGUACGACCGACCUCCGACCCGUCGACCUUUUGACCCCAACGAUAAGUGUUACGAGUGCGGAGAGAAAGGUCACUACGCCUAUGACUGUCACCGCUACAGCCGCCGCAGCCGGAGGAGCAGGUCUAGGUCUCGCUCCAGGUCCCGUGGGAGGCGAUUCUCCCGAAGCAGGAGUCGCAGCAGGAGCCGAGGGAGGAGGUCCGGGUCUUUCUCUCCUCGCCGCUCCCGCUCAGUCUCUCCCAGACGAUCCAGAUCUGCCACACCCAGGAGGUCCAGAACCAGGUCCAGGUCCAGAUCCAGGUCUAGCUCCAGGUCCAGGUCGGGGUCUCGAGGCCGGAGCAGGUGGGGGAUAUCAGAACGUUCUAUCUUGUUCACAGUCAGAGUCCUGUUGUGUCCAGGUGUCCAGUGUCCAGUGUCCAGGUGUUCAGGUGUUCAGUGUUCAGUGUCUGAGUGUCCAGGUGUUCAGGUGUUCAGUGUUCAGUGUCCAGGUGUUCAGUGUCCAGGUGUCCAGUGUUCAGUGUCCAGUGUCCAGGUGUUCAGGUGUCCAGUGUCCAGUGUCCAGGUGUUCAGUGUUCAGUGUCCAGGUGUUCAGUGUUCAGGUGUCCAGUGUCCAGGUGUCCAGGUGUUCAGUGUCCAGGUGUUCAGGUGUCUAGUGUUCAGUGUCUGAGUGUCCAGGUGUCCAGGUGUUCAGUGUCCAGGUGUCCAGGUGUUCAGGUGUUCAGUGUUCAGUGUCCAGUGUUCAGUGUUCAGUGUCCAGGUGUUCAGGUGUUCAGUGUUCAGGUGUCCAGUGUCCAGUGUCCAGUGUCCAGGUGUCCAGGUGUUCAUUGUCCAGUGUUCAGUGUCCAAGUGUUCAGUGUUCAGUGUCCAGGUGUUUUGUAGUAUUUCAUUGUUAAACUCUCAUGAUUAUAAACUGUGUUCUCAGG